AAAAAAAAAAAAAACCUUAAUGGACAUCCUUUUAAUACAAUAAUUAACAAACAAAAAGUUAGCGAUAAAAAUGAAAGUAAAACAAAAAGUGUUUAUACAUAUUUUACUGAUGACAAUAAUUCAGUUGGUAAAGAUUUCAAAAGUGUUACAAGUAAUAAAAAGAGUUUGAAUAAUCUAAAUGAAAAAACAACAUCACGAACAAAUCCGUCCUACCCCUUUUCCAAUUCAAAUAAUAUAAACAAUUUUAUUAUCGUUUCUAAUGUGUUUAGAAAAGAUAAUAUUGAUAAAUAUCAUUUUCCUUUUUUUACCCAAAUGGAUAUUUAUAUAAAAAUAACAAAUGAAUUAAUUGAUAAAAAAAAACAACUUGUUUAUUUUUUAAGUGAAUUAUUAACAUUUUUAUUUAAUAAUAAUUAUAUGUGGCGAAUUAAAAAUGACUCUUUUGAUUUUACAGAACAAUCAUUACAAGCAGAAGUUUUUUAUAACAAUAAAUGGAUUGAAAUUUUAGGUAGUGGUAUUUUAAAAAAAAAAAUUAUAUUUAAAAAAAAUAAAAAAUACGAUAUGUAUGAUUAUUUAGCUGUAGGGUUAGGUUUAGAUCGUAUUGCAAUGAUAAAGCAUGACAUUGAUAGAAUUAGGGACCUAUAUUUAUAUAUUUCGAAUACAGAAAAAAAUAUAGUAAGUAACGAAAAAACUGGAUUUAUUAAGAAAGAGACAAUAACAGAUAAAAUGGGUAGAUGUUACAAUGUAAGUGAUUUUAGUACACCUAGUGACAACAAUACUGAAAAAACACCACCCAACAUAAAAACAAGUAAUAUAUAUAAUAUAAAUGGUUUAAAUAAUAUAAAUGGUUUAAAUAGUGUAAAUGGUUUAAAUAGUGUAAGUGGUUUAAAUAGUGUAAGUGGUUUAAAUAGUGUAAGUGGUUUAAAUAGUGUAAGUGGUUUAAAUAGUGUAAGUGGUUUAAAUAGUGUAAAUGGCAAUUAUGAUAAAAAUGUAAAUAUCGAUGGGAAAAAUAAGGAAACUAAUUUUGAAGAAUAUAAACAAAACAUUUUAUUAGGUUGUUAUAAAAAUGAAGGAAUAAAAUUAAAAAAUAGAUUAUUAAGACUUUUAAAAAAAUGCACAAAAAUAACGAAUGAGGGAACAAAAAAAAAAAAAAAAAAAUGUUGAUUAUAGUAGUAGUAACAACUUUCUAUAUUUCAUAAAUUUAUAUAACAUAAAAAAUGAAGAAAGAGAUUUAUCUUUUUAUUCAAACUCAAAUUGGAAUAAUGCAAUAUUUAUAAAAAACAUUUUUCAAAUGAAAAACAUUAAAAAUAUUAAUUUAUUGUAUAAAGUUUUUCUUAUUGAUAUAUUCUAUAAUAAGCUUAAAAAUGAAAUUAGUUAUACUUACAAAUUUGUUUAUGCACCGACAAUGGAUAUAAAGGUAUUUUUUUAUUAUGGCAUUUCUGUGUAUGUUGUGUGUGUGUGUCUGUGUGUCUGUCUGUCUGUCUGUCUGUCUGCCUGUCUGUAUGGGAUAUAUACCUCCUUUGCAUGGCAUAACGCUCAUCACGUUAUAUAAACCUUUAUUACUAUUAUUAUUAUUUUAUUUCAUUAAUUUUAUUUAUUUAUUUAUUUUAUUUUAUUUAUUUAUUUAUUUAUUUUAUUUAUUUAUUUAUUUUAUUUUAUUUUAUUUAUUUAUUUUAUUUUAUUUUAUUUAUUUAUUUUUUUUAUUUUAUUUAUUUAUUUUUUUUUUUUUUAGGAACAACAAGUAUUUAAAAAACAAGUGAACGAUUUACAUGCGCACAUAAUAGAAAAUAUCACAAGUGAGUACAAUAUAAUUAUCCGUUAGUAUUUUUUUUUACUAUUUUAUGUAUUAGUUUGCCCUCUUGUUUUUUUUUCGACAUUAACUGAUGUGUUUCCUUCUUAAUUAGAGGGUAUUUAAUAAAAUUCCAAAAAAAAAGAUAUUGUUCUAUUCC
rnacentral:lncRNA from 1 species